AUUUUUUACACUUUUUCAUUUCCCUCAAAAAUUUUUGCCUCUUUUUAGUUUCCCUCAAAACCUACAGAAAACCCUUCACUACAGUCUUUUUCUACACAACAGUUUGCUCCAUUCUGACAACGGUGGGUAUUCAAAAUUUGGCUGUCCUCAUGUUCACUUCACUCCCAUUCUGCACAAUAUUUUGCUCCAUUUUUGCGAAGUGGGUGUUCAAGAUUUGGCCACUCGUCUCAUUCGGCACACCCAUUUUACUCCAUUUUGAAGAAGUGGGUGUUCAAGAUUCUGUUGUUAUUCUUAUCUUCUUAAGGACUUGAACCUUUGGAACAGUUGCCAAAAUAUGCCACACACCUGAGGGCUUCUUUUUUGAAGGUAACAGAAUGUGGAACUCUUGAUUCAGUUAAAAAAGAUUCAUCUAUAGAAGCUGAAGAUCGUCAAAAGUUGAUCAAUAUGGAAUUGAAUAAGUACUUUGGAGUAGAUAGAUUUCUUUCUAGAGGUGAUCUUUUCAGUGUAUGCAUCAAUUGGAACUGCAAAUCGGCUCUGUGCAUUCCUUUCUGUCAGAAGAAGCAAAAUGAUGGUUCUGACCUCAUAUUUUUCAAGGUUGUGGGCAUGGAACCUUCCAAAGAACCUGUUCUAAGAGUCAGCCGUACUCGAACUGCCCUUGUACUUGGAGGAAAUGUACCUUUUGCGGUUCCUCCAGAUUUCUUGAUUCCUCGGCCACAAGGUUUGCUGCCUUUACAAUUGCGCACGGUGAAGACUUUAGCCUUCAUACUUAAGCCACCAUUAUGUCCAUCAGCCCUUUCAUCAAAAUUCCGGGUUGUUGUGUUGUUGCAUUGCUUGACUGGUAUGUUUAGACUUUGUCAUCUGUUGGUUGACUGGAAAGAUGCUACUUACUAAAUGCAUUUUGAUCUUCUUUUCUUUUCUUUAUUGCUUUAUGGUAUUUUCUUUUAUAACUUUUCACAUGACGUUGCAGAAAAUAGCAUGAUGUUCUCAAGUUUGUUGCAAAUCCGCGCAUAAUCACUAGGUUGUGGGAAGAGAACUGUGGUUAGAUUUAUUGCUUGUCAAUUAGGCCUUCAUAUAGUGGAAUAUAGCUGUCGAGAGUAUAUUUGCAAAUUCUAAAAGAAAAACAUCUGCUGCCCUGGCUGAAGCCUUCCGUAUGGCUCUCAGGAUAAAUGGAGGGUGUUGUGGCUGCUGCUUUUUCAAACUCAUCAGAUGAUUCAGAAGAAGUCCAAGAAUUUGAUAUAAAUCGCGACUUCAUUUUGAUGUUGUAGAUGGAGAGAAAAAGCAACAUGCCUAUGGCUCGGGCUUGCAAGCUUCUACUUUGUAUCAAAAUCAAAAUUCUACCACUUCACAUCAUUUACCCACGGUGUCUGAUCAUGUUGAAGAGCACAUCAAACUUCUUGAAAAAGAGUUGUUGCAUAUGAGAGAAUUAUUCAAGAGCGUGUAGAGGUUGAGAUGCAACAACACCUAGAUCAAGAGGUUUUUGUGUUUGAAGCAACAAAGUGAUGAUCAAUUUAAGUUUAUGGAGGAGUGUUGGUCUGGCAUGAUGAGCUAGAUGACGCUAUCUUCUCACUAGCUAAUCUAGUGAUCCUUGCUACUCACUCAUAGGGAAUACCCGAAUGCUCACGUGUUUGACAUUAUUAGACUUGAAUUCUUCAAAUUUUAUUAGACUUUUGUUUGUGGAUCUCUCUGUAAGUUUUAUACCUUUGUAGUCUUUCGUAUUGAGGUUGUAUUUUUGGAUGUGUUAAUUUCAUUCUUUUGAAUUAUAAAUUUAAUAUUAUAUUUGUUA